UACUGCUAUCGAGGUCCGACUAAGCCAUGCGAGUCGAAUGUAGCAAUACAUGGCGUACUGCUCAGUAACACGUGGACAACCUACCCUCAGCACGGGGAUAAACCCGGGAAACUGGGUAUAAUACCCGAUAGUUCUAGGCUGCUGGAAUGCACUUAGGACGAAAGCUCCGGCGACUGAGGAUGGGUCUGCGGCCUAUCAGGUAGUAGUGGGUGUAAUGUACCUACUAGCCUACGACGGGUACGGGUCGUGAGAGCGAGAGCCCGGAGAUGGAUUCUGAGACACGAAUCCAGGCCCUACGGGGUGCAGCAGGCGCGAAAACUUUACAAUGCUGGCAACAGCGAUAAGGGGACCUCGAGUGCCAGGAUACAAUCUUGGCUGUCGUAAUGCCUAAAAAGCAUUGCAUAGCAAGGGCCGGGCAAGACCGGUGCCAGCCGCCGCGGUAACACCGGCGGCUCGAGUGGUAACCGCUAUUAUUGGGUCUAAAGGGUCUGUAGCCGGCCGG
rnacentral:rRNA from 1 species